AUUGAACGCUGGCGGCAGGCCUAACACAUGCAAGUCGAACGAGUGGCGGACGGGUGAGUAAUGUCUGGGAACCUGCCUUAUGGAGGGGGAUAAAUACUGGACAGUGGAGCUAAUACCGCAUACCAUCAGAUGUGCCCAGCUGGGAUUAGCUAGUUGGUGGGGUAAAGGCUCACCAAGGCGACGAUCCCUAGCUGGUCUGAGAGGAGGACCAGCCACACGGGAACUGAGACACGGUCCAGACGCCUACGGGAGGCAGCAGUGGGGAAUAUUGCACAAUGGGCGCAAGCCUGAUGCAGCCAUGCCGCGUGUAUGAAGAAGGCCCUCGGGUUGUAAAGUACUUUCAGCGGGGAGGCGUUACCCGCAGAAGAAGCACCGGCUAACUCCGUGCCAGCAGCCGCGGUAAUAC
rnacentral:rRNA from 1 species